GACGUAGGAGGCGAGCGUUAUCCGGAUUCACUGGGCGUAAAGCGCAUGUAGGCGGUUUGUUAAGUCCGUUGUUAAAGCCCCUGGCUCAACUGGGGGAGGUCAAUGGAGACUAGCAGACUUGAGGGCAACAGAGGCACAUGGAACUCCCGGUGUAGCGGUGGAAUGCGUAGAGAUCGGGAAGAACACCCGUGGCGAAGGCGGUGUGCUGGGUUGCAACUGACGCUGAGAUGCGAAAGCGUGGGGAGCGAACAGG
rnacentral:rRNA from 1 species